rnacentral:rRNA from 1 species
GGAAAACUCACCAGGACAGGACAGAGGUAUGAUUGACAGGUUGAAAGUCUUUUCUUGAUUCUCUGGAUGGUGGUGCAUGGCCGUUCUUAGUUCGUGGAGUGAUUUGUCUUGUUAAUUCAGUUAACGAACGAGACCUUAACCUACUAACUAGGCUAUAGGCUAGCUUUACGGCUAGUCAGUUUCUAUGGAGUGGUUCGUAUGAGCCAUUUCUUGAAACCUAUAAUAUGGAACUGCAUCUUCGGGUGUAGUUCCUGCUUCUUAGAGGGACAAUACUUCGUUUAUAUUAGAGUAAGGAAGUUUAAGGCAAUAA